GACGAACGCUGGCGGCGUGCUUAACACAUGCAAGUCGAACGGAAAGGCCCUGCUUUUGUGGGGUGCUCGAGUGGCGAACGGGUGAGUAACACGUGAGUAACCUGCCCUUGACUUUGGGAUAACUUCAGGAAACUGGGGCUAAUACCGGAUAGGAGCUCCUGCUGCAUGGUGGGGGUUGGAAAGUUUCGGCGGUUGGGGAUGGACUCGCGGCUUAUCAGCUUGUUGGUGGGGUAGUGGCUUACCAAGGCCUUGACGGGUAGCCGGCCUGAGAGGGUGACCGGCCACAUUGGGACUGAGAUACGGCCCAGACUCCUACGGGAGGCAGCAGUGGGGAAUAUUGCACAAUGGGCGGAAGCCUGAUGCAGCAACGCCGCGUGCGGGAUGACGGCCUUCGGGUUGUAAACCGCUUUCGCCUGUGACGAAGCGUGAGUGACGGUAAUGGGUAAAGAAGCACCGGCUAACUACGU
rnacentral:rRNA from 1 species